rnacentral:rRNA from 1 species
UACGUAGGGUGCAAGCGUUAAUCGGAAUUACUGGGCGUAAAGCGUACGCAGGCGGCUAUGUAAGACAGGUGUGAAACCCCCGGGCCUAACCUGGGAACUGCAUUUGUGACUGCAUCGCUGGAGUGCGGCAGAGGGGGAUGGAAUUCCGCGUGUAGCAGUGAAAUGCGUAGAUAUGCGGAGGAACACCGAUGGCGAAGGCAAUCCCCUGGGCCUGCACUGACGCUCAUGCACGAAAGCGUGGGGAGCAAACAGG